AGGGAAUUAAUUAUUAUUGAUUAAAUAGUUAAAUUGUUAUUACUUUUAAACACGAAUUUUUUAGGUGAAAUUUUAAUUUUAUUGUAAUAAGUUUACGUUGAAGCUAUGAAAUUUAUUUUAAAAACAAGGAUUAGAUACCCUUUUAUAUUAAAUGUAAAUAUAAUCAGGGUAGUAAUAGUUAUGUUCUUGAAACCCAAAGAAUUUGGCGGUAUUUUAUUCUUUUUAGAGGAACCUGUCCUGUAAUUGAUAGUCCACGAUGAGGAAUCACUUAUUCUUGUAUUCAUUUUGUAUACCUCCGUCAUCAGAGUAUCUUUUUAGAGAUAAUACUCUUUUAAUAUAAAAUAAGAUAUGUCAGGUCAAGGUGCAAUUUAUGGAUAAGUAGAGAUGGGUUACAAUAAAUAUAUUUAUAUGAAUUAUUAUUAUUAUUAGUAAUAUGAAGGGGAUUUAAAAGUAAAAUUAUUUUCUUAAUAAUUUGAUUUUGGCUCUAAAAUAUGCACACAUCGCCCGUCGCUCUUAUUUUAAAAUAAGAUAAGUCGUAACAUAGUAGGAGUACCGGAAGGUGUUCCUAGGAAGUAAANCAAGUUAGAGCUUGAUAGAAAGCAUUUCAUUUACACUGAAAA
rnacentral:rRNA from 1 species